rnacentral:rRNA from 1 species
GGUAUUGACUUAGUUGAAUAAAGUUCUGAGUAAGUCUAGAUGAUGACUUAAUUUACUCAUGUGUCUUGACCAAAGUACGUGCCAGCAGUCGCGGUAAGACGUUAAAGACUAGUGUUAUUCAUCAUUAGCAGGUUUAAAGGGUACUUAGACGGCAAACCAAGCCAUAGAAGGGACUAGUUUGCUAGAGUUGCUUGUGAAGGGGCUUUUAAGUACUGGUGGAGUAGAGAUAAAAUGCAGAUAUACCUUUUUUCGUAAGAAAAAAAAAUGGCACUGGUAAAGGCGAAGGCAUCCCCUUAUGUGUAAACUGACGUUAAAGGACGAAGGCUUUGAACCGCGAAUAGGAUUAGAUACCCUAGUAGUCAAAGCAGAGAAUUAUGAGUGCCAUAGAUUAGGUUUAUUUUUGAUCUAUAAAUGAAAGUGCAAGCACUCCACCUUAUGAGUAACGUGGCAACACCGAAAUUGAAAUCAUUAGACCGUUUCUGAGACCAGUAGUGAAGUAUGUUGUUUAAUUUGAUGAUCCGCAAAAAACCUUACCACAACUUGCAUAUACUUAUUUUGAUUUGUAUACAAGCGUUGCACGGCUGUCUUAAGUUAAUGUCGUGAGACUUUGAUUAGAUUCAUUUAAUUGACGUAAUCCCUC